rnacentral:lncRNA from 1 species
UCCAAGCUUAUGGUAGUACCAUAGGACCAAUUCUUGACCACACAUUUAUGACAUGUGGCGCAUCAAGAUGGUGACACGUGGCAAGGCAUUCCAAGGCAAAAUCUGGAGAGGGGUAAAAUUGGAAUAUAAUUUUCGGAAUUAAAAAUUAAAAAAUAUAUAUAUUUUUUUAGAUUUUCACAAAAUAGAUAUAUUUUAGAUGCAUAAAGUCUCACACGAAGAUGCAUAAAGUUUUCACAUGAAAUGCAUAACUUUGAACAGAAAAAUGCAUUUGAUUUUUACAGUUUUGGUAUUUUC